rnacentral:rRNA from 1 species
GGGUUGUGAGGUUAAGCGACUAAGCGUACACGGUGGAUGCCCUGGCAGUCAGAGGCGAUGAAGGACGUGCUAAUCUGCGAUAAGCGUCGGUAAGGUGAUAUGAACCGUUAUAACCGGCGAUUUCCGAAUGGGGAAACCCAGUGUGUUUCGACACACUAUCAUUAACUGAAUCCAUAGGUUAAUGAGGCGAACCGGGGGAACUGAAACAUCUAAGUACCCCGAGGAAAAGAAAUCAACCGAGAUUCCCCCAGUAGCGGCGAGCGAACGGGGAGCAGCCCAGAGCCUGAAUCAGUAUGUGUGUUAGUGGAAGCGUCUGGAAAGGCGCGCGAUACAGGGUGACAGCCCCGUACACAAAAAUGCACAUGCUGUGAGCUCGAUGAGUAGGGCGGGACACGUGGUAUCCUGUCUGAAUAUGGGGGGACCAUCCUCCAAGGCUAAAUACUCCUGACUGACCGAUAGUGAACCAGUACCGUGAGGGAAAGGCGAAAAGAACCCCGGCGAGGGGAGUGAAAAAGAACCUGAAACCGUGUACGUACAAGCAGUGGGAGCACGCUUAGGCGUGUGACUGCGUACCUUUUGUAUAAUGGGUCAGCGACUUAUAUUCUGUAGCAAGGUUAACCGAAUAGGGGAGCCGAAGGGAAACCGAGUCUUAACUGGGCGUUAAGUUGCAGGGUAUAGACCCGAAACCCGGUGAUCUAGCCAUGGGCAGGUUGAAGGUUGGGUAACACUAACUGGAGGACCGAACCGACUAAUGUUGAAAAAUUAGCGGAUGACUUGUGGCUGGGGGUGAAAGGCCAAUCAAACCGGGAGAUAGCUGGUUCUCCCCGAAAGCUAUUUAGGUAGCGCCUCGUGAAUUCAUCUCCGGGGGUAGAGCACUGUUUCGGCAAGGGGGUCAUCCCGACUUACCAACCCGAUGCAAACUGCGAAUACCGGAGAAUGUUAUCACGGGAGACACACGGCGGGUGCUAACGUCCGUCGUGAAGAGGGAAACAACCCAGACCGCCAGCUAAGGUCCCAAAGUCAUGGUUAAGUGGGAAACGAUGUGGGAAGGCCCAGACAGCCAGGAUGUUGGCUUAGAAGCAGCCAUCAUUUAAAGAAAGCGUAAUAGCUCACUGGUCGAGUCGGCCUGCGCGGAAGAUGUAACGGGGCUAAACCAUGCACCGAAGCUGCGGCAGCGACGCUGAUGCGUUGUUGGGUAGGGGAGCGUUCUGUAAGCCUGCGAAGGUGUGCUGUGAGGCAUGCUGGAGGUAUCAGAAGUGCGAAUGCUGACAUAAGUAACGAUAAAGCGGGUGAAAAGCCCGCUCGCCGGAAGACCAAGGGUUCCUGUCCAACGUUAAUCGGGGCAGGGUGAGUCGACCCCUAAGGCGAGGCCGAAAGGCGUAGUCGAUGGGAAACAGGUUAAUAUUCCUGUACUUGGUGUUACUGCGAAGGGGGGACGGAGAAGGCUAUGUUGGCCGGGCGACGGUUGUCCCGGUUUAAGCGUGUAGGCUGGUUUUCCAGGCAAAUCCGGAAAAUCAAGGCUGAGGCGUGAUGACGAGGCACUGCGGUGCUGAAGCAACAAAUGCCCUGCUUCCAGGAAAAGCCUC